GUGUGGCCCCACCCCUGGAGGCGAGCCCCGCCCUUGUACUUGGAAGCGGACGCUGUAGACCACGCCCACGGUCCUUGGUCUUUUCCUCCCUAGGACUUGGUUAUUUUCCACCGGUCCAGGGAGGGUGGAACCGAGGUGCGGUCGCUCUCUAGAGCUCGCAUGUGUAGAAUGAACGGACUGCCUGCUUCUACUGAGACUCGCGCUCUAAGCCUAAGACCCCAACAGCCUGCGGAUGGAUGAGACUCUGCAGUCCUCAACGCUCCAGAGCCAUGCUAAUCCCCUGAGCCCGCUCUGGCUUCCAGCAGUGCCUCCCCUACAGGUGCGCCCACCCCAGCGGGUGAACCUCGAGGUGCACCCCUCUCUCCAGCUGUGAGACCUCGUAGCUCUCUACUGCUCCCAGUUUGGUUACUAGGAGGUGCACCCCUCUGUGCGCCCACCCGAUCGUGGGAAGGCCGGCUCGGCGCAGCCCCUGCCUACAAGCAGACAAGCUGAUUCGCAGUCUGAGAAUCCAACAGGUGUGCGGCCGCCUGGGCAACCUCUGGCAAAGCCACCAGUUUCCGCUUCCCAGAUAAGAGUGUUCCCGGUGUUGCAUUAGGCUGCCGGGUGAUCCCUCCCUUGCCCUUGAUUCUGCAUCUCUCCCGAAUGAAUAAGUAGCAGGUUGAGAAGGUGGAGAUGGGAGCUGUCUCUUCAGUCAAUAAUAAGAACCGUGGGGACAACGUUCUUAGGGUGUUCUCACUCAUUAUUGAUUCACAGUUCUUUGAAUAUGCUGGCUCAAGUUAGUACACGCACACGUAUGUCAGAUACUUCCUCUCAAUAUUUUGUUUACCAUCUAUCCUAGUUUGCUUUGUAUCGCUGUGAUAAGCACCACGAGCAAAAGCAACUCGGCGAGGUUGAUUUCAUCUUACACUACCAGGUAACAGUCUAUCACUCAGAGAGUCAAGCUGCUUGGAAGAAGCAGAGAUCUAGAAGACACAAAGACCAGCAGAACUUUCUGGAAGAGGCCCAGACCAACCAAGCCACCUGGAAAGGACAUUCUUCAGCCUGUUGAGUUUCUUGCAGACUGUGCAGUGUCCUCCAGACCCCUAGCUUUUAUGUCUUAUCACCCAUGCCAGGGUGACUUUAGAGAUAUAGCUGUCUUUGAGUCAUUUCUGCUUCUGUAAGGAACCACAAUAAAACUGAAUUGGACUUUGGUGGUAUCUGUA